rnacentral:rRNA from 1 species
UGGGGAAUUUUGGACAAUGGGGGAAACCCUGAUCCAGCCAUCCCGCGUGUGCGAUGAAGGCCUUCGGGUUGUAAAGCACUUUUGGCAGGAAAGAAACGUCAUGGGUUAAUACCCCGUGAAACUGACGGUACCUGCAGAAUAAGCACCGGCUAACUACGUGCCAGCAGCCGCGGUAAUACGUAGGGUGCAAGCGUUAAUCGGAAUUACUGGGCGUAAAGCGUGCGCAGGCGGUUCGGAAAGAAAGAUGUGAAAUCCCAGAGCUCAACUUUGGAACUGCUUUUUUAACUACCGGACUAGAGUGUGUCAGAGGGAGGUGGAAUUCCGCGUGUAGCAGUGAAAUGCGUAGAUAUGCGGAGGAACACCGAUGGCGAAGGCAGCCUCCUGGGAUAACACUGACGCUCAUGCACGAAAGCGUGGGGAGCAAACAGG